CACUGUUAAGUUACACAUCUUAUAAUGCUUACUUGACCCUAUUUAAUGGCCUUGUCCAGUGCCUUGCCGUCUACAUAUUAUAUAAACCCUUUCUCGGUCGCUCCUCCUUGCAACCAUCGAAAAUCCAUCGCCUUCUUCGCAAGAUCCAGGGAGAAAACUAAACACUGCGCGCCAUGAGGUGGUCAGACAGAUCAAGCACUAGCUAGCGCAGCUGCGCAUCAUGUUUGUUCUUCCUCUCUCUUUUGAUUUCAUUUCUUGUUAAUAUAUUUGCCGCCGGGCGCGGCGUCAUGGUUGUGAUCGAUGGUCGCCGGCCGGAUGGAAGAGAGCGUCCUUCAGUCCACUCAGGGGCGGUGCUAGGGUCGGAUUAGCUGCCGACUCAUUCACCCACAUGCCAAGCAAACGGCCAUGGAAACGAGCUUCGCAGAUGAGUGAAUGAAGCGGGAGAUCUUACAGGACAGGACCGGAUCCGAUCCAUGCAGGUUUCUGCUGUCUUUCUGUGAUCUGUGGAAGAAGAUGGUGUGCACUGUACGUUCUAGACUAGCUAGCUAGGACUAUAUAUAAACGAGAAUCUGUGGAAUCAUAAAAACACACUUUCGUUCGAUCGAUUCGUCGUGUCGUGCAACAGCGAAACGUCUUUCGAUCUCCCUGUUUAUUUGCUUUGGAACUUUGCAUGCAACUAGCUAUUGAUUCGACGUGUGCUAGCAUAGCAGCUGUGUCGUCUGUGUGAUGCUCCUCCACCUUUCUUUUAUUUGGAGCAUAUUAUGACCACCACUACUUGGACCGAAUCAUCAGGUUUCCAAUUCUUUUGCCCUAUUCCCAUGAGGUUUGUGAUUUAUCAUGGUGUUAGCUACUAGUAGUGUUUAUGAUUUUGUGAUCCACUUGUGUUUUGCGUCUUGGACCAGCGUGUCUUUUCCGCAUGUUCACCGCAGCAUUUGGUUUGUGAAAGUAUGCGAACCUACAUGCCGGGGCCGGCCUUGGUUUUCCUGUGAUUUGAAAAGAGGAGUCUUUUCUUGUUCAUUAGCACGCAACGCAAGUGACUGUUUUUUUCACCCAAUGCAAGCUGCAAGAUACGAAGAGAAAUUAAUUAGAACGAUCCAAGGUAUUUUGUGAAUACUGCUGCGAGUCUGUAUGCUUCCUGUCUGCAGUAAUUAAGCGUUUAACUGCUAGUGAUUGACCUAGCUAACUGUUUCAGAACAAUAAACUUGUUCAUAUUUGGUAUA